GAGAGAGACAGAGAGAGAGAGAGAGAGAGAGAGAGAGAGAGAUGGGAAACUGUUGUCCCCUUUGACAAUAAGGAAGCGAACAGACAAAGGUGACUUGCCAGACUUGGGCACAAGUCAGUAGAACAGAGAUGACUCCACUGUAAUUUAUAGAAAGGGAGGCCAAGCCUCCUGUCAUCUUGUCCAGAAAUAAAUGGCAUCAAUCAGCUGGCAAAGUGUUUCUCCUGGCUCCUGAUUGGCGGGCUCUCCUUUU